UUGUGCAUGAUUUAAAUUCGUUGUGCAAUGAUGAUAGAGCAUAGCCAGACUAUAUGCUCUUGUAGGGAUAACUUUCUUUUGGCCUUGUUAUUUUGAAAAUUCAUGAUUACCUUGCUAGUUUGCUUGAAUUAUUAUUGUUUCCACGUCAAUAGAAAACCAUUGUUUUGAAUCUAAUGGAUCUGAACAUUCACGUCACAUAAGAGAAAUUACAAAGGACACCUAUGCCAGGUAGCAUGAAAGCAUCAAAAGUUCAUUCUUUAUCAC
rnacentral:lncRNA from 1 species